rnacentral:rRNA from 1 species
AAACCGGAGCUAAUACCGGAUAAUAUAUUGAACCGCAUUGUUCAAUAGUGAAAGACGGUUUUGCUGUCACUUAUAGAUGGAUCCGCGCCGCAUUAGCUAGUUGGUAAGGUAACGGCUUACCAAGGCAACGAUGCGUAGCCGACCUGAGAGGGUGAUCGGCCACACUGGAACUGAGACACGGUCCAGACUCCUACGGGAGGCAGCAGCC